GGCCCGUUAGCUCAGUUGAGAGAGCGUCGUGCUUGCAGUGCGAAGGUCGUGGGUUCGAUCCCCACACGGGCUA